GAUCCUGGCUCAGGAUGAACGCUGGCUACAGGCUUAACACAUGCAAGUCGUGGGGAAACGGCAUUAUGUGCUUGCACAUUCUGGACGUCGACCGGCGCACGGGUGAGUAUCGCGUAUCCAACCUGCCCCUUACUUGGGGAUACCCCGUUGAAAGACGGCCUAAUACCCGAUGUGUUUCAUUGACGGCAUCCGAUAUGAAACAAAGGUUUUUCCGGUAAGGGAUGGGGAUGCGUCUGAUUAGCUUGUUGGCGGGG
rnacentral:rRNA from 1 species